AAACAUUUCAAUAAUAUGCACAGGCCAAGAUAUUAACAAGGCCUACACUUCUAAUUUAGAGGAUAGAAAAGCAUGAGUUAACAAAGAGUUAAAUAGAGUUAACAAAGAGUUAAAUAGUGCAAGUAACCUGUACAGAUAUACCAUGUUACAGUCCACAGGAGAUGAAAAAAGUUUGUACAUGUAUUUCUCUUGUCAAAGUACCUGAGUCAUUUAGGGAGGGAGAGACCGGAAAAUGGUGUUUGAAGCCCUAAAACUAAUCUCCUAGUCUGGAAGUUGUUCAUAGUCCCCAUUUUCAGGAGAUUGGUGCGCUCCAUGGCCUAAUCUUCCUGUCAAAUCAUAACCGGAAUUGACUCUAGUAUCCGGACCACUCCUCCAAUCUGUGGACCUCAAAGGUGCCACAUGCAUACCCCGAGGAUGAAUCAUAAAAGGAUUUCCUCCCAUAGCUGGAGGAUCAUCAUUUCCCCUGAUUGGAUUCCUCCCAGAAGAUGAAUCAACUGGAGAACGGAAGCCAAUGUUUGAUAUCGACGCCCCUCCAACUGCUGAAGGCAACUUGCUGGCAGAAGCAUCAACUUUCACACCAGUGUUAACAUCCUUCUUGUUGUCAAGAAGAAAUGUACCAACAAUGACCUGAACAGGGCCACCGGCAGUUAGGGGUCCACCAACUCCUCCUCCAAUGAUCUGACCAUCUGUAUUAGAAAGGCAUACGCUGAGCCCACCUGUUCUCCCUCCAAUAUCAGUGUGCACAUAUGAUCCAGACAGAGAAAUGAUAUCAAAUCGACCCUGAUUUAAGAGUAUGCAGACAACAAUUAAUUUUGACAGUUUAACAAUUAUGUUAUGUCAAGGACUUCAACCAUGCCUAAAUUUGUGAAGGUGAAGCUUCCUUUCAGAACAAACAAAUUAGUCAAAGGUAUGUUCCUUUUGUGCAAAUAGCAAACUGACAGCCUUUUUUAAUGAGGAUAAGCACUAAAAGAGGAUAUUUCUGGUCACAUGAAAACGUAAAACUUUCAAUACUGACUGCUAAGUAAUCUUCUAUGUCACUUUGAGUAUUUCAAAUGCUUUUGAAUUUUCUCAAAGUUCCAUGGUAACAUAAUCAGGCUUGGCAAUGGCAUAUCAUCCACUGGGCACUGCAAAUAUACUUUUGCACCUAGCUGGUCUGACCACAGGAACGAACUUGUCACCCACAGUCACCAAACUUAUCAUAAAUCAAAUUAAAGUCAUUAACUUCCAAUUUGUUUCUUAAAAGUUGGUCACUAUAUUUUGAUUCUGAAACAGUAUCAUUGAGACCAGAUUCCCAUUCAUCUAGAAUUUGAAAUUUGCAAACCCAGACCAUCUGAUACACGAGCUCCUGGACAUAUUUGACAUUAUAUUUCACAAGAAUAAGCACUCUUCAACUUCCACAGAACAAUUCUACUUUCAGGAGAGUAAAAUGUAACAAUUUCUAAGAUAUUAGCAAGCAUGAUUUAUUUGUCAGAACUCAGUCAGGACUUUUGUUAGGCUCAUCUCUCUGCAGUUCAUUUCCUUUAUUC
rnacentral:misc_RNA from 1 species